rnacentral:rRNA from 1 species
UACGAAGGGUGCUAGCGUUGUUCGGAAUCACUGGGCGUAAAGCGCGCGUAGGCUGUGCUGCAAGUCAGGGGUGAAAUCCUGGAGCUUAACUCCAGAAUUGCCUUUGAAACUGCAUUACUAGAGUGUCGGAGGGGAUAGCGGAAUUGCUAAUGUAGAGGUGAAAUUCGUAGAUAUUAGCAGGAACACCGGUGGCGAAGGCGGCUAUCUGGACGACAACUGACGCUGAGGCGCGAAAGCGUGGGGAUCAAACAGG